GACGAACGCUGGCGGUGUGCUUAACACAUGCAAGUCGAACGGAAAGGCCCUGCUUUUGUGGGGUGCUCGAGUGGCGAACGGGUGAGUAACACGUGAGUAACCUGCUCUUGACUUUGGGAUAACUUCAGGAAACUGGGGCUAAUACCGGAUAGGAGCUCCUGCUGCAUGGUGGGGGUUGGAAAGUUUCGGCGGGUGGGGAUGGACUGGCGGCUUAUCAGCUUGUUGGUGGGGUAGUGGCUGACCAAGGGUUUGACGGGUAGCCGGCCUGAGAGGGUGACCGGCGACAAUGGGACUGAGAGACGGCCCAGAGUCCUACGUGGGGCAGCAGGGGGAAAUAUUGCACAAUGGGCGGAAGCCUGAUGCAGCAACGCCGCGUGCGGGAUGACGGCCUUCGGGUUGUAAACCGCUUUCGCCUGUGACGAAGCGUGAGUGACGGUAAUGGGUAAAGAAGCACCGGCUAACUACGUG
rnacentral:rRNA from 1 species